GGUUCGAUGGUGUAGUUGGUUAUCACGUCUGUCUCACAAGGGCGUUGUCCUCGGUACACAGGAGGUCUCCGGUUCGAGCCCGGGUCGAACCA